rnacentral:rRNA from 1 species
UACAGAGGGGGCAAGCGUUAUUCGGAAUUAUUGGGCGUAAAGGGCGCGUAGGCGGCCUGACAAGUGGAAGGUGAAAUCCCUCGGCUUAACCGAGGAACUGCCCUCCAAACUGUCUGGCUUGAGACCGGGAGAGGUGAGUGGAAUUCCCAGUGUAGCGGUGAAAUGCGUAGAUAUUGGGAGGAACACCAGUGGCGAAGGCGGCUCACUGGACCGGUACUGACGCUGAGACGCGAAAGCGUGGGGAGCAAACAGG